UACGGAGGGUGCAAGCGUUAUCCGGAUUCACUGGGUUUAAAGGGUGCGUAGGUGGGCUAGUAAGUCCGUGGUGAAAUCUCUGAGCUUAACUCGGAAACUGCCGUGGAUACUAUUAGUCUUGAAUCUCGUGGAGGUAAGCGGAAUACGUCAUGUAGCGGUGAAAUGCUUAGAUAUGACGUAGAACACCGAUAGCGAAGGCAGCUUGCUACACGAGCAUUGACACUGAGGCACGAAAGCGUGGGGAUCAAACAGG
rnacentral:rRNA from 1 species